GGGCGCGUAGCUCAGCGGGAGAGCACUACCUUGACAUGGUAGGGGUCACAGGUUCGAUCCCCUGUCGCGCCCACCA
rnacentral:tRNA from 1 species